ensembl:lncRNA
AAAGAAUUGUUUAUUCACCAGGCAGUGUCAGGAGGAGGGAAAGCAGCCUGGAACUUGGAGUAGAGAUGGGAGCUGGAGAAGUGCUGUGGACGUUCACAAUCAGUAAAUGUAGUUUUAAUGAGGUGUUUAUUGGUGAGCCUAAGAAAUGUGGUGGGUCACCCCCAGUAGGUGUAUUUCUUGUUCAGCUGCCUGCCUUGUUCUGUGCACUUGGAUGUGCUCAGUAUCAGAGCUUGUCAAAGGUAGACCACAGUUCAGAGACGCGUUCCCUGCCUGCUGGGCCAUUAACUGCUCUGUUUGGUUUUGCUUUGUGUCCCCGUCCUGCUCUUUGCUGCUGUGCUCCUGCUCUGAGGCAUGCAGUGCAGCCUUACAGGUAAAACUUCAGCGGCCAAAGCCGGGAUUGUAACUCGCAGCAGCUCAGAACCCCGCGGCGCGGCAGAGCCUCUCAGCUCCGCGCCCUGCGGCUGCUGCGCGGCACAGCCCGGCUGCGCUGUGGGAGUUGG